UUUUUCCUAGAUUUUGGCCUUUCUAGGGAGUUUUUACUAGCCACCGUGCUUCUACACCUGCAUUGCUUGCUGUUUGGGGUUUUAUGCUGGGUUUCUGUACAGCACUUUGAGAUAUCAGCUGAUGUAAGAAGGGCUAUAUAAAUACAUUUGAUUUGAAUAAAAUGUCACCCAACAAAAAAUAUAUGCAUGGGAAGGUACCCUUGUUUUGUAGGAAAGGCUUUCUGUCUGAAUUCUAUAGGCAGUCUUCAUGGACACACACAGGUAACAGUUGAACACAUUACAUGGUGAGCAGAAAAUGGCGGAAUCUGAUGCUGAGUUUGAAUCUGAUGGCACUAGCAAAGAUGAGAAUGAAGGUGACGACAAUACUGGACGGACAACCGUCACUGAAGGACAGAUAAAGAGAGCUCAAAUCACAAUGAAAAAAACAUCUAAGCCUACUACUAAUUGAUUUUUAGUAUAAUAAGACAAAUACUUCAACUAGGCCUACUUCACAGUUUGUAGUAGCAGCAUGGUUUAAGGAUAAGAAGAUGUACCUGGGAGAUCUGUUUUGAUGUUAAAUGGUGAAUAAUCUGUUGGGUAAAGUGAAAUCUUUGAGGCUGACGAGAACUGGAAUUCUGUAGAUUUUUUUGUGUCGGCAGAACAAAAGGACUAUGCGUUGCGCCUCACCAGAAUCAAGGAGAAAGAGGUGACUGCCAUCGGAGCAGAGCACCAUUGAAGGGUGUUUUUUCUGGAGUCUCUGUGGAAGUUGGAGUGGAGAAGACCAAUAUGAAAAUGUCUGGAGUGUAGUUGGGAGUGAGUAUAGAGCAGACGGCACGGGUCAAAAUUUUGAUUUAUGGCCCUGUGUCCAGAUGAUGCGUACAUGUCCAAAUAUGGGCAUCCGGCCAGGACAUCCUGUUCCUGUUGUCACGUGUUAGAGGGUGUGUUAUUUUAUAUCUAUAUUGCAUCUAUUCCUUUGAAGUUGUCAUGCUGAUUGAUGUCUAGGUACCUGGUUGAACUGGGGGGUUCUGUGUUUGAACUUUUGAAAGAGUAUGGCCCCACACCCCUGUUUUAUUGCCUGUAGGAUUGCUAUCUAUGAAGCAGGAAUGUGUGUGUGUGUGUGUUAGAAACAAGGUCCCUUGGCAUUGUGUACAUUUCACGCUUUCAACAACAAUAAAACAGCCAUCUAAAUAAUGUUUCUCAGCCUAACACUCUGUUGAGUUUCCUAUUUAGUUCUCUUUAUAUGUACAUGCACAGAGCUUCCAGGUGGUUCCAGCCUAUGGAUGUUCGGUGCAUGUACACCAGGGAGAUUAGAACCUAAACAAGAUUUUUAAAAUAAAACCCAGAAUAUUAAACAUAAAAAUAUGUCUCCUAGGCCAAUUCUCGGGGUGCUAUGCGGCUCAUGUCAUGAACCCAAUGACAAAAGCCUGGAGGAUGUUUUGCGUGAGACCCCAGAAUGUUUUAAUGGAGUUAAUGGAGCCCUAAGAAUCGCUUCAAUGGCGUAUACCCCUGACUCCAAAGUGACAAUUUUAGCAUGUGAACAAUUUGAUAGAUUUCGUCGCAUUUGCACUGUCAGUUCAUAUGUAUUUUCCAAAGCAUGCAAGGAUGUAAACUUUUUUUUUAUGCCUGUGUUAAGUUUUAAAUGGCGUGAUUAUCAUAUCUUCAGAACACUUAUGAAUAAGCUGGACAGUCUUUUCCAAAAUCGUGAACAAUUACGGCGAUGGCCGAGGUUAUCGUUGAGACAAACACAGGACUCGCAAGCCAGAAGGAGGAUCUUUCCCUAGAGUGAAAACGUCCGGAGCUUUGAUGGAGCGGGCAAGCGUCUUUGCGAUGGUGAAUUGGAAACGGAUAAUGGUCAGGGCUAACCAGCCCCUUUAUCUGUCAGAAAUAGUAAAAAUGUUGAAUUAUAACGUGUGUUAAAAUGUAUGUACUAAAUAUUUUGAAUUAAAUCAUUGGUUUUAAAAAUGUAUCUCACCCUUUAACGAAAGGGGAAACUGUCUUUUCUCUCAUGCCCUGGUCUGUCGCAGAGAAAUGCAAUGUCUUAAAAAAACAAUGUAUUAUUUUAUAGUCUUUCC
ensembl:lncRNA